rnacentral:rRNA from 1 species
GGGGGAUAACGUCCGGAAACGGGCGCUAAUACCGCAUACGUCCUGAGGGAGAAAGUGGGGGAUCUUCGGACCUCACGCUAUCAGAUGAGCCUAGGUCGGAUUAGCUAGUUGGUGGGGUAAAGGCCUACCAAGGCGACGAUCCGUAACUGGUCUGAGAGGAUGAUCAGUCACACUGGAACUGGGACACGGUCCAG